GGUUAUGGCUCAGUGGUAGAGUGCUCGCCUUUCAUGUGCAAGGUCCUGGGUUCAAUUCUCAGCACCA
rnacentral:tRNA from 1 species